rnacentral:rRNA from 1 species
UGCGGAGGGAUCAUUGCUGGAACGCGCCUCGGCGCACCCAGAAACCCUUUGUGAACUUAUACCUUACUGUUGCCUCGGCGCAGGCCGGCCUCCCACCCGAGGCCCCCCGGAGACGGGGAGCAGCCCGCCGGCGGCCAAGCGAACUCUUGUUUCUACAGUGGAUCUCUGAGUUAAAAAAAAAACAUAAAUGAAUCAAAACUUUCAACAACGGAUCUCUUGGUUCUGGCAUCGAUGAAGAACGCAGCGAAAUGCGAUAAGUAAUGUGAAUUGCAGAAUUCAGUGAAUCAUCGAAUCUUUGAACGCACAUUGCGCCCUCUGGUAUUCCGGAGGGCAUGCCUGUUCGAGCGUCAUUUCAACCCUCAAGCCUGGCUUGGUGUUGGGGCACUGCUUCGAGAGAAGCAGGCCCUGAAAUCUAGUGGCGAGCUCGCUAGGACCCCGAGCGUAGUAGUUAUAUCUCGUUCUGGAAGGCCCUGGCGGCGCCCUGCCGUUAAACCCCCAACUUCCGAAAAUUUGACCUCGGAUCAG